rnacentral:rRNA from 1 species
AUUGAACGCUGGUGGCAUGCCUUACACAUGCAAGUCGAACGGCAGCACGGGAGCAAUCUUGGUGGCGAGUGGCGAACGGGUGAGUAAAGUAUCGGAACGUGCCCAGUCGUGGGGGAUAACGUAGCGAAAGUUACGCUAAUACCGCAUACGAUCUAUGGAUGAAAGCGGGGGAUCGCAAGACCUCGCGCGAUUGGAGCGGCCGAUAUCAGAUUAGGUAGUUGGUGGGGUAAAGGCUCACCAAGCCGACGAUCUGUAGCUGGUCUGAGAGGACGACCAGCCACACUGGGACUGAGACACGGCCCAGACUCCUACGGGAGGCAGCAGUGGGGAAUUUUGGACAAUGGGCGAAAGCCUGAUCCAGCCAUGCCGCGUGCAGGAUGAAGGCCUUCGGGUUGUAAACUGCUUUUGUACGGAACGAAAAGGUUUGGCCUAAUAAGCUGAGCUCAUGACGGUACCGUAAGAAUAAGCACCGGCUAACUACGUGCCAGCCGCCGCAGUAA